GAAUAUUGGACAAUGGGGGGAACCCUGAUCCAGCCAUGCCGCGUGUGUGAAGAAGGCCUUUUGGUUGUAAAGCACUUUAAGCGAGGAGGAGGCUACUCUAGUUAAUACCUGGGGAUAGGGGACGUUACUCGCAGAAUAAGCACCGGCUGCCUCGGCGCAAGCAGCCGCGGUAAAACAGCGGGUGCGAGCGUUAAUCGGAUUUACUGGGCGUAAAGCGCGCGUAGGUGGCUAAUUAAGUCAAAUGUGAAAUCCCCGGGCUUAACUUGGGAAUGGCAUUCGAUACUGUUUGGCUAGAGUAUGGGAGAGGAUGGUAGAAUUCCAGGUGUAGCGGUGAAAUGAGUAGAGAUCUGGAGGAAUACCGAUGGCGAAGGCAGCCAUCUGGCCUAAUACUGACACUGAGGUGCGAAAGCAUGGGGAGCAAACAG
rnacentral:rRNA from 1 species